CCACCACGGGUUAGUGGAUAAACGGGUUGGCUCACUAGCCCAUUUAAUUAUAUUUUUUUUAAAAUAAAAAAAAAUACAAACUUUCUAUAAUUUAAAUUUAAACAAUUUUCACUCCCAAAAAAUUAUGUAAAAGACAAUUCAAAAUAAUAAUAAAAAGUACAAUAUAAUCCAAAUGUCAUUAAAAAACAAACACAAAAAACAUAUAAAUAAGUUUUUUAUAUUCAUAAUUUUUUGUUAUUGUUGUAACCCUUGACCCUUGUUCUUGUUGUCUCCAAAUUCACUAAUAAAGAUUUUCCUAAUAUCAGAACAAUUCCG
rnacentral:lncRNA from 1 species